UACGUAGGGGGCAAGCGUUAUCCGGAUUUACUGGGUGUAAAGGGAGCGUAGACGGUGAGACAAGUCUGAAGUGAAAGCCCGGGGCUCAACCCCGGGACUGCUUUGGAAACUGCCUGACCGGAGUGCUGGAGAGGCAAGCGGAAUUCCUAGUGUAGCGGUGAAAUGCGUAGAUAUUAGGAAGAACACCAGUGGCGAAGGCGGCUUGCUGGACAGUAACUGACGUUGAGGCUCGAAAGCGUGGGGAGCAAACAGG
rnacentral:rRNA from 1 species